rnacentral:rRNA from 1 species
CCUACGGUAGGUAUCAGUGGUGAAUAUUGGACAAUGCUUGAAACCCUGAUCCAUCAAUGCCUCGUGACUGAUGAAAGCCUUAAGGUUGGUCAAGAUCUCUUUACCUGCGAUGAUUAUGACGUGAACUAGCGAAUAAUCUCCUGCUAACUUACCGCCACCAUUCCCUGCUAAUACUGAAAGGAGCUAGCGUAUGUUCCUAAUUACUGGUAUGUAAAGGGCACGAAGAGCUCUACUGUAUUUGACAUGUGCAAAGACCUGUUCCUUAACCUGUCGAAGUGCAUUUCAGACUGCAAUGCUCAAGUGCACAUACAGGAAAUUAGAAUGACGAUUGUACAGGUGAAAUUCAUAAAUAUGCAUUGGAACUUCAAUGGCAAAAGAUACUUUCUGGCUCUGACCUGACCCUAUUACCCCAAAUCCUGGGGAGCAAACAGGAUUAGAUACCCCGCCAGGCCACUCCGAAUACCAUCAUUGCUACACUUCAUCAACUACAGUUUUCAGUGUACCACCUAAAACGUUAACCAUCUCGCCUGGGGAGGACUGGCUCAAGAUCAAAACUCUUAUGAAUUGAUCG